rnacentral:rRNA from 1 species
UACGGGGGGGCAAGCGUUGUUCGGAAUUACUGGGCGUAAAGGGCUCGUAGGUGGCCAACUAAGUCAGACGUGAAAUCCCUCGGCUUAACCGGGGAACUGCGUCUGAUACUGGAUGGCUUGAGUUUGGGAGAGGGAUGCGGAAUUCCAGGUGUAGCGGUGAAAUGCGUAGAUAUCUGGAGGAACACCGGUGGCGAAGGCGGCAUCCUGGACCAACACUGACACUGAGGAGCGAAAGCCAGGGGAGCGAAACAGGGAUUAGAACGGACCGGUGCGUCCAAGACC